CGGCUGCUUGGCACAGUACAGGCUGCGCCACUUAGUCCAGGGGGCGUCGACUCAGUGCAGAGGGCGUUGACGCAGCAAAAGCCCGCCGCACAGUGUUUAUAAGGAAGUGGGUUUGGCGACACAAUGCCACUUGCCGAAACAAGCCAGACCUCACUCACGCUCGCUUGUCGAAGUUCGUGUCAGUGCAGACUUCGUGUUCGUGCCUUGCCUUCCUUGCCGAUUAUGGAGCAGAGACGCAAAUCAUCCGCCGUGUGGGACCAUUUUGAUGUCCCGGAGAAUAAGGUGAAAUGUCGAAUUUGCCGGGUCGAAUUGUCAUACACCAACAGAAGCACCUCCACCAUGCUGAGGCAUUAUCGGGCCAAGCAUGAGAAUGAAGUUCGCGAUACACCCAGUAUUACGCCAGGUUCCACGAAGCAGCUGUACUGGAAGGACCAACACACUUCUUUCCCAAACCUCUACCACCUCGCAAAGGAGUUCCUUUGUACGCCAGCCUCAUCCGUCCCUUGUGAGCGUGUGUUCUCCACAGCAGGAGAAAUCGCUUGUAAAAGACGCAACAGGCUGAAGUUUAAAACAUUGGAGCAUCUUAUUUUUCUCAAUAAAAAUUUGUGAAAUAAAAGCCCACAAGCAUCCUCAUUCAAAUGAUCUUCACAUUAU